rnacentral:rRNA from 1 species
GACGAACGCUGGCGGCGUGCUUAACACAUGCAAGUCGAACGGUGAAGCGCCUUCCUUUUUGGUGGGUGUGGAUGAGUGGCGAACGGGUGAGUAACACGUGAGUAACCUGCCCCCUUCUUCUGGAUAACCGCAUGAAAGUGUGGCUAAUACGGGAUAUUCUGGGUCUGUCGCAUGAUGGGUCUGGGAAAGAUAUUGUUUCGGUGGGGGAUGGGCUCGCGGCCUAUCAGCUUGUUGGUGGGGUGAUGGCCUACCAAGGCGGUGACGGGUAGCCGGCCUGAGAGGGGGGGGGGGCAACACGGGAGCGAAACGAGGGCCAGGCCUCGGAGGGGGGCAAGAGGGGGGGAUAAUGGAAAAGGGGGCGAGGACGGGAGGAGGCGGGGCCGGGGGGGGGAGGGGGCCCUUGGGGUGGGGACCUUUUUCGGCGGGGGAAGAGGGCCGGCUUGUUGUGGGGGGGGUUGGAGGGUGGUGGAAAAAAAAGCGCGGGCAAACUAGGGG